AGCGUACACGGUGGAUGCCCUGGCAGUCAGAGGCGAUGAAGGGCGUGCUAAUCUGCGAUAAGCGCCGGUAAGGUGAUAUGAACCGUUAUAACCGGCGAUACCCGAAUGGGGAAACCCAGUGUGAUUCGUCACACUAUCAUUAACUGAAUCCAUAGGUUAAUGAGGCGAACCGGGGGAACUGAAACAUCUAAGUACCCCGAGGAAAAGAAAUCAACCGAGAUUCCCCCAGUAGCGGCGAGCGAACGGGGAGGAGCCCAGAGCCUGAAUCAGCAUGUGUGUUAGUGGAAGCGUCUGGAAAGGCGCGCGAUACAGGGUGACAGCCCCGUACACAAAAGCGCAUGUGCUGUGAGCUCGAUGAGUAGGGCGGGACACGUGGUAUCCUGUCUGAAUAUGGGGGGACCAUCCUCCAAGGCUAAAUACUCCUGACUGACCGAUAGUGAACCAGUACCGUGAGGGAAAGGCGAAAAGAACCCCGGCGAGGGGAGUGAAAAAGAACCUGAAACCGUGUACGUACAAGCAGUGGGAGCNGCUUUGGGGUGGGGUGACUGCGUACCUUUUGUAUAAUGGGUCAGCGACUUAUAUUCUGUAGCAAGGUUAACCGAAUAGGGGAGCCGGAGGGAAACCGAGUCUUAAUUGGGCGUUAAGUUGCAGGGUAUAGACCCGAAACCCGGUGAUCUAGCCAUGGGCAGGUUGAAGGUUGGGUAACACUAACUGGAGGACCGAACCGACUAAUGUUGAAAAAUUAGCGGAUGACCUGUGGCUGGGGGUGAAAGGCCAAUCAAACCGGGAGAUAGCUGGUUCUCCCCGAAAGCUAUUUAGGUAGCGCCUCGUGAAUUCAUCUCCGGGGGUAGAGCACUGUUUCGGCUAGGGGGCCAUCCCGGCUUACCAACCCGAUGCAAACUGCGAAUACCGGAGAAUGUUAUCACGGGAGACACACGGCGGGUGCUAACGUCCGUCGUGAAGAGGGAAACAACCCAGACCGCCAGCUAAGGUCCCAAAGUCAUGGUUAAGUGGGAAACGAUGUGGGAAGGCCCAGACAGCCAGGAUGUUGGCUUAGAAGCAGCCAUCAUUUAAAGAAAGCGUAAUAGCUCACUGGUCGAGUCGGCCUGCGCGGAAGAUGUAACGGGGCUAAACCAUGCACCGAAGCUGCGGCAGCGACGCUUAUGCGUUGUUGGGUAGGGGAGCGUUCUGUAAGCCUGUGAAGGUGGCCUGUGAGGGUUGCUGGAGGUAUCAGAAGUGCGAAUGCUGACAUAAGUAACGAUAAAGCGGGUGAAAAGCCCGCUCGCCGGAAGACCAAGGGUUCCUGUCCAACGUUAAUCGGGGCAGGGUGAGUCGACCCCUAAGGCGAGGCCGAAAGGCGUAGUCGAUGGGAAACGGGUUAAUAUUCCCGUACUUGGUGUUACUGCGAAGGGGGGACGGAGAAGGCUAUGUUGGCCGGGCGACGGUUGUCCCGGUUUAAGCGUGUAGGUGUGUGUUCCAGGUAAAUCCGGUUCACUUUAACACUGAGGCGUGAUGACGAGGCACUACGGUGCUGAAGCAACAAAUGCCCUGCUUCCAGGAAAAGCCUCUAAGCAUCAGGUAACAUCAAAUCGUACCCCAAACCGACACAGGUGGUCAGGUAGAGAAUACCAAGGCGCUUGAGAGAACUCGGGUGAAGGAACUAGGCAAAAUGGUGCCGUAACUUCGGGAGAAGGCACGCUGACACGUAGGUGAAGUGAUUUACUCAUGGAGCUGAAGUCAGUCGAAGAUACCAGCUGGCUGCAACUGUUUAUUAAAAACACAGCACUGUGCAAACACGAAAGUGGACGUAUACGGUGUGACGCCUGCCCGGUGCCGGAAGGUUAAUUGAUGGGGUCAGCGCAAGCGAAGCUCCUGAUCGAAGCCCCGGUAAACGGCGGCCGUAACUAUAACGGUCCUAAGGUAGCGAAAUUCCUUGUCGGGUAAGUUCCGACCUGCACGAAUGGCGUAAUGAUGGCCAGGCUGUCUCCACCCGAGACUCAGUGAAAUUGAACUCGCUGUGAAGAUGCAGUGUACCCGCGGCAAGACGGAAAGACCCCGUGAACCUUUACUAUAGCUUGACACUGAACAUUGAGCCUUGAUGUGUAGGAUAGGUGGGAGGCUUUGAAGCGUGGACGCCAGUCUGCGUGGAGCCGACCUUGAAAUACCACCCUUUAAUGUUUGAUGUUCUAACGUGGACCCGUNNNCCGGGUUGCGGACAGUGUCUGGUGGGUAGUUUGACUGGGGCGGUCUCCUCCUAAAGAGUAACGGAGGAGCACGAAGGUUGGCUAAUCCUGGUCGGACAUCAGGAGGUUAGUGCAAUGGCAUAAGCCAGCUUGACUGCGAGCGUGACGGCGCGAGCAGGUGCGAAAGCAGGUCAUAGUGAUCCGGUGGUUCUGAAUGGAAGGGCCAUCGCUCAACGGAUAAAAGGUACUCCGGGGAUAACAGGCUGAUACCGCCCAAGAGUUCAUAUCGACGGCGGUGUUUGGCACCUCGAUGUCGGCUCAUCACAUCCUGGGGCUGAAGUAGGUCCCAAGGGUAUGGCUGUUCGCCAUUUAAAGUGGUACGCGAGCUGGGUUUAGAACGUCGUGAGACAGUUCGGUCCCUAUCUGCCGUGGGCGCUGGAGAACUGAGGGGGGCUGCUCCUAGUACGAGAGGACCGGAGUGGACGCAUCACUGGUGUUCGGGUUGUCAUGCCAAUGGCACUGCCCGGUAGCUAAAUGCGGAAGAGAUAAGUGCUGAAAGCAUCUAAG
rnacentral:rRNA from 1 species